UUUUUAUUUCGUUUAAUGUAACAUAACCAGUGUGCUAUAUUAUUUGCAAUGGUAAAUCAUAUUCUUUGCAAAGUGAUUAUAUUUCCUUUAAAUUUAUCAAAAAUACGGACAUAUCUCAAGAUGUUUCUGUAAACAACAUUACCAGCGACCCUGAUUUUUAAUGAUGCGCCACCCCGAAUUUUUAAUGUUGCGCUGCCCUGAAUUUUUAAUGCUGCGCCGCCUGAAUUUUUAAUGUGCGCCGCCCUGAAUUUUUGAUGAUGCGCCGCCCUACAAAAGGGGGUCGAACGGCCUCUAUAUUAUUACUCAUUCAUUUAGAAAAAUUCUUAACUGUUUUCUACUAAACCGAGUUAAACGAGUCUGAAUUUAUUAUGUCUCUAUAACUUACUGUACUUGUUUUUGUGAGUUACAAUAUAAUAGUCAAUAUAACAUAGUGUUAUUUACCUACAAGAUGGCCUCGUGUAAAAGCUUCCGCCUUCUAGAGGUCUCCUCGCCACGUAUUCAUGUAUUUUAUAAUAUGUAUCAUCGUGUAUUCGUAAAUUUGUGGUUAUAAUAAAGAAAAAUUUGAC